rnacentral:rRNA from 1 species
UACGUAGGGGGCAAGCGUUGUCCGGAUUUAUUGGGCGUAAAGAGCGUGUAGGCGGCCAGACAGGUCCGUUGUGAAAACUCGAGGCUCAACCUCGAGAUGUCGAUGGAAACCGUCUGGCUAGAGUCCGGAAGAGGAGUGUGGAAUUCCUGGUGUAGCGGUGAAAUGCGUAGAUAUCAAGAGGAACACCUGAGGUGAAGACGGGUUGCUGGGCUGACACUGACGCUGAGGCGCGAAAGCCAGGGGAGCAAACAGG